rnacentral:rRNA from 1 species
GGUCAAGUUAUUAAGGGUGCAGGGCGGAUGCCUUGGCACUAGGAGCCGAUGAAGGACGUGAUAAGCUGCGAUAAGCUUCGGGGAGUUGCACGUAAACUUUGAUCCGAAGAUUUCCGAAUGAGGAAACUCACUUAGAGUAAUGUCUAAGUAUCAUUAAGUGAAUACAUAGCUUAAUGAGGGAAACUCAGGGAACUGAAACAUCUAAGUACCUGAAGGAAGAGAAAGAAAUUCGAUUCCGUAAGUAGCGGCGAGCGAACGCGGAUUAGCCCAAACCAAUAAAGUUUUCUUUAUUGGGGUUGCGGACAUAUCAUAACGAAGAGGUAUCGUAAUUGAAGAGGUUUGGAAAGACCCACCACAGAAGGUAAUAGUCCUGUAUGUUAAACGAGAAGACUUCAGAUAUGAUCCAGAGUACCACGGGACACGUGAAACCCUGUGGGAAGCAGGAGGGACCACCCUCCAAGGCUAAAUACUACCUAGUGACCGAUAGCGUAUAGUACCGUGAGGGAAAGGUGAAAAGAACCCCGGGAGGGGAGUGAAAUAGAACCUGAAACCCUGCACUUACAAGCUGUGGAAGCACAUUUCUUGUGUGACCGCGUACUUUUUGUAGAACGGGCCAACGAGUUACGUUAAGUAGCAAGGUUAAGCACUUAAGGUGUGGAGCCGUAGCGAAAGCGAGUUUUAACUGAGCGUUCAGUUACUUGACGUAGACCCGAAACCGGGCGACCUACCCAUGAGCAGGAUGAAGCGAAAGUAAAAUUUCGUGGAGGUCCGAACCCACGAGCGUUGAAAAGCUCGGGGAUGACUUGUGGGUAGCGGUGAAAUUCCAAUCGAGCCCGGAGAUAGCUGGUUCUCCCCGAAAUAGCUUUAGGGCUAGCCUCAAGGUGAGAGAUACGGAGGUAGAGCACUGAAUGUCCUAGGGGGUAUUGCACCUACCGAAGACUAUCAAACUCCGAAUGCCGUCAUCUUAUACUUGGGAGUCAGACUGUGGGUGAUAAGAUUCAUAGUCGAAAGGGCAACAGCCCAGAUCGUCAGCUAAGGUCCCUAAAUGUAAGUUAAGUGGUAAAGGAUGUGGGAUUGCACAGACAACCAGGAUGUUGGCUUAGAAGCAGCCACUCAUUCAAAGAGUGCGUAAUAGCUCACUGGUCGAGUGAUCCUGCGCCGAAGAUUUCCGGGGCUAAAACUUACUACCGAAGCUACGGCAUCAGUAAUGAUGGGUAGGGGAGCUUCCCAUACGGGUUGAAGCAUGACCGUAAGGACAUGUGGACAGUAUGGGAGUGAGAAUGUUGGCAUGAGUAGCGAGAUGUGGGUGAGAAUCCCACAGGCCGUAAACCCAAGGUUUCCAGGGGAAGGUUCGUCCGCCCUGGGUUAGUCGGGACCUAAGCUGAGGCCGAAAGGCGUAGGUGAUGGACAACAGGUUGAUAUUCCUGUACUACCGAUAACCGUUUGAGAGAAGGGAUGACACAGUAGGAUAAGCUAAGCACACUGUUGGUUAUGUGUGCCCAAGCAUUGAGGCAGUCAAAGUAGGCAAAUCCGCUUUGAUAAUGCUGGGAUGUGAUGGGGAGCGAAAUUUAGUAGCGAAGUAGCUGAUUUCACACUGUCAAGAAAAGUCUCUAUCGAGGUUAAAGGUACCCGUACCGCAAACCGACACAGGUGGGUGAGGAGAGUAUCCUAAGGCCAGCGAGAGAACUGUUGUUAAGGAACUCGGCAAAAUGACCCCGUAACUUAGGGAUAAGGGGUGCCACCAUCAGGUGGCCGCAGAGAAUAGGCCCAAGCGACUGUUUACCAAAAACAUAGGUUUCUGCUAAGUCGCAAGACGAUGUAUAGGAGCUGACGCCUGCCCGGUGCUGGAAGGUUAAGGGGAUCUGUUAGAGCAAUCGAAGCAGUGAACUUAAGCCCCAGUAAACGGCGGCCGUAACUAUAACGGUCCUAAGGUAGCGAAAUUCCUUGUCGGGUAAGUUCCGACCCGCACGAAAGGCGUAACGAUUUGGGCACUGUCUCAACAACAGACUCGGUGAAAUUGUAAUUCCGGUGAAGAUGCCGGAUACCUGCGACAGGACGGAAAGACCCCAUGGAGCUUUACUGUAGCUUGACAUUGGGUUUUGGUACUACAUGUACAGGAUAGGUGGGAGGCUUUGAAACCAGGACGCCAGUUUUGGCGGAGCCAUCCUUGGGAUACCACCCUUGUAGUACUGGGACUCUAACCAUAGGCCAUGAAUCUGGUCUUGGGACACUGUCAGGUGGGCAGUUUGACUGGGGCGGUCGCCUCCCAAAAGGUAACGGAGGCGCUCAAAGGUUCUCUCAGUACGGUCGGAAAUCGUACGUAGAGUGUAAAGGCAAAAGAGAGCUUGAUUGCAAGACAUACAGGUCGAGCAAGGAUGAAAAUCGGACUUAGUGAUCCGGUGGUUCUGCGUGGAAGGGCCAUCGCUCAACGGAUAAAAGCUACCCUGGGGAUAACAGGCUUAUCUCCCCCAAGAGUCCACAUCGACGGGGAGGUUUGGCACCUCGAUGUCGGCUCAUCACAUCCUGGGGCUGUAGUAGGUCCCAAGGGUUGGGCUGUUCGCCCAUUAAAGUGGUACGCGAGCUGGGUUCAGAACGUCGUGAGACAGUUCGGUCCCUAUCCGUCGCAGGCGUAGGAAAUUUGAGAAGACCUGUCCUUAGUACGAGAGGACCGGGAUGGACGUACCUCUGGUGUACCAGUUGUUCUGCCAAGGGCAUGGCUGGGUAGCUAUGUACGGAAUGGAUAAGCGCUGAAAGCAUCUAAGCGCGAAGCCAACUUCAAGAUAAGAUUUCCCACCGUAAGGGUAAGACCCCAGAAAGACUAUCUGGUUGAUAGGUCGAAGGUGUAAGUGCAGCAAUGUAUUUAGCUUAUCGAUACUAAUAGGUCGAGGACUUGACCAA